rnacentral:rRNA from 1 species
AACGAACGCUGGCGGCAGGCUUAACACAUGCAAGUCGAACGCAUCCUUCGGGGUGAGUGGCAGACGGGUGAGUAACGCGUGGGAACGUGCCCUUCAGUUCGGGAUAACCCAGGGAAACUUGGGCUAAUACCGGAUACGUGCGAGAGCAGAAAGAUUUAUCGCUGAAGGAUCGGCCCGCGUCUGAUUAGCUAGUUGGUGGGAUAAUGGCCCACCAAGGCGACGAUCAGUAGCUGGUCUGAGAGGAUGAUCAGCCACAUUGGGACUGAGACACGGCCCAAACUCCUACGGGAGGCAGCAGUGGGGAAUAUUGGACAAUGGGCGCAAGCCUGAUCCAGCCAUGCCGCGUGAGUGAUGAAGGCCUUAGGGUUGUAAAGCUCUUUCGUCCGGGACGACAAUGACGGUACCGGAAGAAGAAGCCCCGGCUAACUUCGUGCCAGCAGCCGCAGUAA